GAUGAACGCUAGCGGCAGGCCUAACACAUGCAAGUCGAGGGAGAAGCCCUUCGGGGCAGAAACCGGCGCACGGGUGCGUAACGCGUAUGCAACCUACCUUUCACAGGGGGAUAGCCCGAAGAAAUUUGGAUUAAUACCCCAUAAUAUUAUUGGAUGGCAUCAUUUGAUAAUUAAAAUUACGAUGGUGAAAGAUGGGCAUGCGUCCUAUUAGCUAGUUGGAGUGGUAACGGCACCCCAAGGCUACGAUAGGUAGGGGUCCUGAGAGGGAGAUCCCCCACACUGGUACUGAGACAGGGACCAGACUCCUACGGGAGGCAGCAGUGAGGAAUAUUGGUCAAUGGUCGGAAGACUGAACCAGCCAUGCCGCGUGCAGGAAGAAUGCCUUAUGGGUUGUAAACUGCUUUUAUAUGGGAAGAAUAAGGAGUACGUGUACUUNGANGACGGUNCCA
rnacentral:rRNA from 1 species